GUGGGCUGUGUCCUUGGCAGACAGGCAUGGGGAGGGGGGCACCCAGGGAUGCCCCAGCAGCAGGACCACGCUCCAGCCACUUGCAGGCCAGGUGAGUGAGAAGAUGUAGAGGAACCACAGGCAGGCGAUCGGCCCAGACGCGCGGCUG
rnacentral:lncRNA from 1 species